AUGGAUGGGGCCAACGCGGACGUUAACAUGUCACAGGUCAGAGACUUGCAAGCGUCGCUAUUCCCGAUUUGUACGAAAGGGUCGUUUUUAAACAAUUUACUGAAUCGUACAUUAAGAAACAGUCAGGUGGACAUAAACGCAGACGGCGACACAAGGCAGUUAGAUACUAAAUUACGAGACGUCAAAGAAGUUUUUCCGUUGAUGAAAGAAGUAGAUUGUCCUUACCAAGCUGCAAGAUGGCCAAUGGAGUGCCAAGUUAUAGACGAACCCGUUAUUCACGUUCACCCGACGUCUGCAUCUUAUUCAGAAAAAGAGCCUCUUUACAAGUUUACAGGCAGAGAAAUACAACCGAAACAAGUAGGCGAAGAUUCGGGUGAAGUAAUUUUUAAAUAUUAUCCUAUCAGCAGCGUGAACUAUUUUUGUCGUUCAGCCGUUGGUGGUAGUGCGUGUACUCAAGCACAUAGUAGCCAAGACACUUCUGACUUGAUUUUUGAAUCACGUUUUGAAUCCGGUAACCUAGCCAAAGUUGUCAAAAUAACCAGUACGUAUUAUGAAUUAUCGCUAAGAUCGGAUAUGUAUACCAAUCGGCACACCCAAUGGUUUUAUUUUAGAAUAGAAAACACAAAAAAAAACAUUAAAUAUAGAUUUUCCAUUGUCAACAUGUAUAAGUCUGAAAGUCUUUUCACUGCUGGUAUGAAACCAUUGUUGUACUCAACAAAGGAUGUAAGUCAAAAUAAUGUGGGCUGGAGACGUUGUGGGGAAAACAUUGCAUAUUACAGAAACGACGCACCAAAUGGCGAUAGCGAGGAUAAUCCACGUUAUAUCUUUUCGUUUCUCUUAGAGUUUCCUCACGAUAUGGAUACUGUAUACCUGGCCUACAACUAUCCAUACACAUAUACAAAUUUACAAGACUAUUUAAUAAAGCUCAAGGACGAUCCGGUUAAAGCGGUGUUUACAAAGCUCAGAGUCUUGUGCCGAACAUUAGCUGGCAAUAAUGUGCAUUAUUUGACUGUAACGGAGCCUUGCCAAGAAGAAGAUCCAAAACAAAAAAAAGUAAUUGUCUUAACAGCACGUGUCCAUCCAUCCGAAACUCCAUCGUCUUGGAUGAUGAAAGGAUUUAUUGAUUUCUUAACCGGCGAUUCGUUGCAAGCAAAGGAAUUACGGAAUCGUUUUAUUUUCAAAUUGAUACCAAUGUUGAACCCAGACGGAGUGGUUGUUGGUAAUAGUAGAUGUUCAUUAAAUGGACGGGACUUAAAUCGACAAUAUCGUAGCGUUAUUCGAGAUGCCCAUCCGGUUAUAUGGCAUACAAAACUUAUGCUUCGCAGAUUAAUUGAAGAACGUCAAGUAGUGAUGUUUUGCGAUUUGCAUGCACAUUCGAGGAAGUCGAACAUUUUCAUGUAUGGAUGCGAAGGAAAAGGCCAUGAAGGGAGAAAACUGCAAGAGCAAAUAUUUCCACUCUUGCUGCACAAAAACGCCCCAGAAAAAUUUUCAUUUGAAGAUUGCAAUUUCAACAUUCAGCGUUCAAAGGAAAACACGGCUCGCGUAGUCGUGUGGCUGAUGGGCGUCGAGAACAGCUACACAAUGGAAGCGUCAUUUUGUGGUUCAUCCCUAGGUUCUCGAGCCAACACUCAUCUCGCCAUCAAAGACUUUGAAGAUAUCGGACAGACGUUUUGUGAAACCCUUUUGGACUACUAUAACGAGGAUCCCCGAAAUGAAAGAAUGAAAUUGAAAAUAUGUAGCCGAUUAAUGGAACAGGGCUCCAACGCAGAACAACCAAAAAAUAUAGACAUAUCCGAUUACUCGAGCGACGAGAGCUCAUCGAGUGUAUGCGAAGAAAUCGUUGACAAGUUGAGUUUCGAAGAAGACGCCACAACUCUGACGCAACUAUCAAUUAUUGUACCACCUAGUACACCAGUUGUGCCGAAACGAAAAUCACGAAAAAAAAAAAGAAAGUCAAAGGAUUGUAGUACGAAAAUUAUAACGCCGUAAUGCCGUUUGGCUGUUCUAAUUACUUGAAAAGCCCACAACGUUCUAAUCAGAAACAUUUAUGUACAGGGUUCUAGAUAACGCUCAAUACUGUACCUACCAAUAAUACAAUUAAUGUACUCAGUACUGUGAACUUGUACCCAGUGCUUAAAUUAGAGACACGGAGGUACCUAAUAAUUUAACUUAAUUUUAACAAUCUUUUAAAUUUUUUUCUUUUAAAUUUUCUCCGAACUAUGGGAAUGUUGUAAUUAAGAUGAAUUUGCCUAGGUAUAAAAACUUUUUUUAAAUUACAUUUUAGAUAAAUAAUAUUUGUAGCUUGAUAAUCAUAGAUCUAUUGAUUAUUUUAUUAUUUU